UCCUACUGCACCGGAGAAGUUCAGUACAGGAUCAAAUCCUCCAAAGGAGUUUGUUUUCAAUUCAAUGCCUCCAGUAAUUCCAGCAAAAUCACGCAAGUGUUGUAGUUCCACCUGUUACAACAAUCGCUUUCGAUCUUUUAAGCACUGGGAAUUGCACAGCCAACAACGGUGUUGAGUCCAGGCGCAACAGCUUCUACUGAAACGGUGAUAGAAACCAAAAUGGUCGUAAGCAUAAAGGUUUUGAAUUUAGAUUGCAGGCUGAAAAUUCUGUGUAUGGGAAACUUUUUAUGUGUUGAAUGUUUGAAUACUUUACUUUACAAUUAAACCCACCAA